ACUUCCGCCCCGGAAAUCGUCGGUCCUGCGGGUUGAAAUGCGGAGUGGAGAGGAAAGCUGGAAAGACUUAAAGCUUUUUGAGUAUCUCAUCCUCCACCUCUUCCAAGGAGCCAAAGAACCUAUUCCAUGCCAUUCUCUGAGCAGUUGCAUUUGGAAUGAAACCUGAACAAGGAAAUUUUCUAUUCAAACAACCAGAUUUGCAAGACUGGAUCCUUGUCGGUGAUGGGAAGAGCUUUUACAGAUAUGCUUUAAGUUUUUGGUCUGUACCAUUUGAGAAUAUGUCUAUAAUAAUUCUAUGUGGCUAUCCUUCCUAAUCCAACCAGUUUGCCCAGUGUGCUCUAAAAGCUCCUAAGCCUCGUUGCAUCUUCAAUAAAAUGGACUUUUUAUUUCAUUUGCAAUAAAAUUGCAAAUCCCA